AACAACAAAGACAGAUUUCUGACAAGGAAACAACCAAGACAGAUUUCGGACUUGACAAACCCGAGCACUUGAGCUACGAAUUUAGAAGACUAAAAUAGAUCUAAAAACAAUAAAAAGGGAUAUUCGUGAUACCUCUAACCAGCUCUGAUGCCAGCUGAUGCGAGAGACGGAAGCUACUUCGGAUCUAGAGGAACACGAUGAAGAUUUGAUGGAGUUGAACCCGAACUUGGACCACUCAAGAACAGAUUUAACGGUAGAGGACGCCACAAUCAAGUGUGUGUGUUUGAUUGAUAAGUCAAGAACAGCCUAGGAUCAACUCUAGGAUAUUCAACUUAGCUUUCACAAGCUAAGGGAAUUUGCCACAAGGAAUGGACGAAAUUCUGGAAAUUUUAUUCAAUACUCUCAAAAACU
rnacentral:lncRNA from 1 species